GAUUAAGCCAUGCAUGUGUAAGUAUAAAUAGUUAACUUUAAAACUGCGAAUGGCUCAUUAUAUCAGUUAUAGUUUAUUUGAUUCAAUUUAACUAUUUGGAUAACCGUAGUAAUUCUAGAGCUAAUACAUGAGAAAAGUCUUAACUUGUACUUGUACAAGAAAAGAUGUAUUUAUUAGAAUGAAAACCAAGGAUAUAGAGUAAUCUAUAUGUAUUGUGAGUAAUAAUAACUUAUCAUAUCGCAUGCUUUUAGUAGCGAUAUAUCUUUCAAGUUUCUGCCCUAUCAGCUUUCGAUGGUAGUGUAUUGGACUACCAUG
rnacentral:rRNA from 1 species